rnacentral:misc_RNA from 1 species
UCUCCGUAGGUGAACCUGCGGAGGGAUCAUUACAGAGUUCAUGCCCUCCGGGUAGAUCUCCCACCCAUUGCUAUAACUACUCUCGUUGCAUUGGCGGGCCGCUGGGCCCUGCCCGGCCGCCGGCCCCGGCUGGCGCGUGCCCGCCAGAGACCUCACAAACUCUGAAUGUUAGUGUCGUCCGAGUAACUAUACAAUCGUUAAAACUUUCAACAACGGAUCUCUUGGUUCUG